GACGAACGCUGGCGGCGUGCCUAAUACAUGCAAGUAGGACGCAGUUGCGAACGGGUGAGUAACGCGUAGGUCACUGCCUAUUAGAGGGGGAUAACUAUUUGAAACGAUAGCUAAUACCGCAUACUAGUAAAUGGACCUGCGUUGUAUUAGCUAGUAGGUAGGGUAAUGGCCUACCUAGGCAACGGUACAUCGCCGACCUGAGAGGGUGAGCGGCAACACUUGGACUGGGACACGGCCCAGAGUCCGACGGGAGGAAGCAGUAGGGAAUUGUCGGAAAUGGGGGGAACCCUGACCGAGCAACGCCGCGUGAGUGAAGAAGGUUUUCGGAUCGUAAAGCUCUGUUGUUAAGGAAGCGGUACUUAACCAGAAAGGGACGGCUAACUACGUGCCAGCCGCCGCGGUAAUAC
rnacentral:rRNA from 1 species